rnacentral:lncRNA from 1 species
CUCAGUUUGAGAAGAAGUUUGCCCUGCUCCUCUUUGCCUGGGGUGCAUUUCUUAUCGGAGUGGCGCACCUCCGCCAAGAGCCUGAGCAAACCCUUGAAAAGUCAUGCUCCCACCGCUCCGCUUCACGGAGAAAGUCAAGGAAAACACCGCCCCUUCCAGGUAGACCAGAAAACCGAACAGAAGGACACGCCCCCAACCCUGAAGAUUUCAAAGCAAACACAGCUUCAGGGGCUUUUGAGAAAGGCCCCAACAGCGAAAUACACCUGGUCCUUUGAGGCAGAGGGCGGAGCUGCUGGGCGUGUGCCCCUGCUGCAGAAGGCUGGGGCUGCCGACGGGUCCCUCCCUCUAAGGGUGCGGGCUGUCCCUGCUGUGGCCCUUGGCGCCCCCCUCCAGAUGGAGGGGCAUUUCCUGAUUCCUCGCACAUACCCUGGAGAGAAUGCCCCCCUCAGGCAAGGUGGGCCCCCGACUCUACUAAGCAUGCCACGGGAACUUUAUAGACACCUCUGCAAUGAAUUAAUAAGGGGGGGUGGUGUUUAUUUAUCUGUUUCUCCUUUUACAGGGAACAAAGGCUCCACAGGUGAAGUGAUCGGCUCCAGGUCCCCUAACUGGUUUGCGCUGCAGCCGCCAGACCAAGAGUGUCUGUGAAUCCGGCCACCCUACACCAACGAGUCCACCACGCUCGGCCACUGCUCUCGCCCUUGUCCUGCCGCCCUAGAGUUCCCCUUCCAUGUUUACCAUGACCACAGAUCUCUUUUUUUUUUCUUUUGGCAAAUAUCUGCAGCAAUGGGUCGGGAACAGGGAUGUGUGUCCAGAUGCAAGUCCCCGCGAGCACCUGCCCUCCCCCAGGAGAGGGAUGAACCGUCUCCCAGCUCAGCGGAGCAUUGUUUUAGCGUCUUGCACUUUUGGUUAGUGACAGUUUUGCAAAUUGCGGGUAAAGAACUUAAAUGUCUAAUUAAAUCCCGAAGAUGUACAGGGGUUUGAAGCGCGUGAUUGACGCUCAUGGAGGCGCGGCUUCCCGUCGGAGGCCGUCUGACAGGGCCUGCAAAGCCCGCUCGGCGCCUGACGUCUUGUUGUGAUCCGUGUUGUCAUUUUUUCAUUACUGAUUAAAAUUAAAAAUCUGCUUGGCAAAUCCAUUGUAAAAAUUCCCUUC